AGCGAGGGUUGUGCGGAAAGGUUUUCAGCCCCCUGCCUUGGUCUGCUAUAGCCUGUGACACGAUCAAUACCAGGGUGAGCAGCACAGGAAGCUCAGGGAAGAUUAUGAAGAUGAGCAACCCUCUGAAGAAUCCAUUUUUACCACUCCUUCUUCAUUGCCCAAGAAACUGAGGCACACAGAAGCCAAGCAAGGGAUUUCUUCUGGAGGAAUCCUUUGUAGAAGUUCCAAUAAGAAGAGUUGAGUCUGUCAACAAGGCAAUGUUGGGAGUCAAGGACCAAAAAAGCAAGAUGGCGCCAGGCUGGGAAGAGUUUAAGUUUGCUACAUUAAGCAAUGGGACCUGACAGGGGCAAAAAGUGAGAAUAUCAGAAUGGCAGGUUGGGAGAUUUUAUCUCAGAAUUGAGGACAGUAUGAAUUGGAAUGGGAAUUGAAGAGGCAAGGAGCAGAAUAUAGGCAAGAAGUGAAAAGAGACCAAAUCAGGAAGGGGAAAGGAAGUGGUGAACAAAAUUAGGAAAUUGAGAAAGCAUGAUGGAGCCAGGUGGAUGUCAGACCCACAACCCUUCUUUAUCUAGAGGGCCACUGACCAGUACCACAGACAUCCCUGUCCCAAGCUCUGCUUAACAACUUGUCAUGGGUGCUAUAAAAACUCAGGCAGGGUGGCCUUCUAAUCCUGCUGUCUCUGCCCUAGGUUCAAUGUAUAGGUAGUCAUUUUGUUUGGGGGCCCAAACCCUCACGUUAUAAACUUAGCCUGCUAACUGGAGUUUUCUUACUAUUUUGCAGAAUUAUUCUUCCCUUCCUCUCCUGGGACCUGCAAGAUCAAUUCCCCUCUUCUUUUUCUCCCUCCCUGUUUUGCCUUCUCCUCCUUUGGGUCCUAACAGGUUCUAGUCCUUACACCCCCAAGUCACAACACUCUAUUUUGCAGAAUAUCUUCCUCUCCCACUCGGUCAACAGUGUGGUUCCCCAGCCCACCCCCAUUCCACUCUGGUGCCUGUUGCCUAUUAUGGGCUGUUGCUUAGCCUCAACCAUGAAGCAUUCCCUCAGCUUCGAGUUCCUACUCUCUUAGCAAGGCAUCUUUUCAAAUCUCAACUAAUGUAGGAAAAUUAAGAAUAGCAAAGAUAGCACUAACAAAAUUGAAGUUUCUGUCUUUUUGUUACCCCAAGACAUUGAAUCCUAUGUGGACAAAAGGUUUGUUCAACCAUGUAGAAAUAUUACUUUCUAGGAAGGAUAAGGAUAUGAAUAUAGACCUGUAGGAAGUACUAAGGUGUGAUCGAUUUUGCCUCCAGAGGGUGAGUUCAGGCCCUGAGAAAGUGCUGUUCCUGCCGUCUACCAAGAGGCCCAGGGCUCUGAAACACAGGCUAGAAGACCAGAUGCGUCUUCAUGAAAUUCUGUGGUGACAGGUCAAAGCGGAAGUGCUUUAGAAAUUCGCAACCUUUGACCUCUGGCAAGAAGAAAACAGUUAACUGUUGUCUUAUAGUGUAAAAAAGAAAAAAAAAAAAAAAACUGGAUUUUUGUGUGCAUAUGUGCUUGUGUAUAAAAUCCCGAAAUUCAAAUAGUGUUGCUUAGUUUCGAUUCAGAUGUUAGAUGAACUUUCCUUCCGUUAUUUCUGGAUUGGUAAAAACCUGAGAAA